rnacentral:rRNA from 1 species
AUUGAACGCUGGCGGCAGGCCUAACACAUGCAAGUCGAACGGCAGCGGGGGAUAGCUUGCUAUCCUGCCGGCGAGUGGCGGACGGGUGAGUAAUGCAUGGGGAGCUGCCCAGUCGAGGGGGAUAACAACUGGAAACGGUUGCUAAUACCGCAUACGCCCUGAGGGGGAAAGGUGGGGAACUUCGGUCCUACCGCGAUUGGAUGCGCCCAUGUGGGAUUAGCUAGUUGGUGAGGUAACGGCUCACCAAGGCGACGAGCUCUAGCUGGUCUGAGAGGAUGACCAGCCACACUGGAACUGAGACACGGUCCAGACUCCUACGGGAGGCAGCAGUGGGGAAUAUUGCACAAUGGGGGAAACCCUGAUGCAGCCAUGCCGCGUGUGUGAAGAAGGCCUUCGGGUUGUAAAGCACCUUCAGUCAGGAGGAAGGGGUGAUGGCUAAUAUCCAUCAUCAUUGACGUUACUGACAGAAGAAGCACCGGCUAACUCCGUGCCAGCCGCCGCCGUAA